rnacentral:rRNA from 1 species
UACAGAGGGUGCGAGCGUUAAUCGGAAUCACUGGGCGUAAAGCGCACGUAGGCGGAUCUUUAAGUCAGGGGUGAAAUCCCGAGGCUCAACCUCGGAACUGCCUUUGAUACUGGGGAUCUCGAGUCCGGGAGAGGUGAGUGGAACUGCGAGUGUAGAGGUGAAAUUCGUAGAUAUUCGCAAGAACACCAGUGGCGAAGGCGGCUCACUGGCCCGGAACUGACGCUGAGGUGCGAAAGCGUGGGGAGCAAACAGG